rnacentral:misc_RNA from 1 species
GACGAAGAACGCAGCGAAAUGCGAUACUUGGUGUGAAUUGCAGAAUCCCGUGAACCAUCGAGUCUUUGAACGCAAGUUGCGCCCGAAGCCAUUAGGCCGAGGGCACGCCUGCCUGGGCGUCACACGUCGUUGCCCCCCCAUCUACUCCUUCGGGAUUGCGGGGGGCGGAUGAUGGCCUCCCGUGCGCCUCGCCGCGCGGUUGGCAUAAAUGCCAAGUCCUCGGCGACGCACGCCACGACAAUCGGUGGUUGCGAAACCUCGGUUGCCCGUCGUGUGCGGUCGUCGCGCAUCGAGGGCUCGAAAAAAUUGCCGGGUUCCGGCUCGGCUUUCAACGCGACCCCAGGUCAGGCGGGGUUACCCGCUGAAUUUAAGCAUAUCAAUAAGCGGAGGA